rnacentral:lncRNA from 1 species
CUAGACUCUCGAUCUUUUGCUGCAAAAACUGACUCGUGUUUUUUCCAAUUCAUCCUUGUGCAUGGACACAGAUUGCAGAGUGCACUACCGGAAACAGGAAGUUCCGGAAACAGGAAGUUCGCCGAGUGCCCCAGGCACUCGGCGAAUGCCCAAAAACACUCGGCAACGCAUUUGCCGAGUGUAACACUCGGCGAAACAGACUCGGCGAACUCUCCCUCGGCAAACAGGGGUUUCGCCGAGUGUCAUACAUCGGGCACUCGGCGAAGCUUCGCCGAGUCCCAAAAAACACUCGGCAAACAUAUUUUUGAAAAAAAAUAAAAAAAACAAAAACUCCGGCCGCCGCCGCCGCCAGCUGCCAUCCACGCCCGCCGCACGCCGACACCCGGACCACCAGCACGCCGCCGCCGCCGCCAGCUGCCAUCCACGCCCGCCGGCCACCAUCCACGCCCGGCGCGGCCGUCAUCUUCUCCGGAGGCGCCGGGGCGUCAGGGGCCGGGUCGUCGUCGUCCGGAGGCGCUCGGAUCCUCGGUGGGGGGAGGAGGCGGGCCGUCGCCGUCGAGCUCGUCGCCGUCGCUGCGCAACCACCGGCCGCCGCUGUCGCUGUCGCGGUGCAGCGGCGCGCACGUACUGGAGUUCCUCCAGUACAUCCACGCCCGCCGCCGCCGCCGCCAUCCACGCCCGCCGCCGCCGCCACCGCCAUCCACGCCCGCCGCCGCCGCCAUCCACGCCCGCCGGAUCCGGGGCCCCCGACGCGAGACUCCGGCGGAUCCGGGGCCGGCGGCGGCGGAUCCGGGGGCGGCCGGGCCGGGGGCGGCGGAUCCGGGGGCGGCGGGGCCGGCGGCGGCGGAUCCGGGA